rnacentral:rRNA from 1 species
UACAGAGGGUGCAAGCGUUAAUCGGAAUUACUGGGCGUAAAGCGUGCGUAGACGGUUGCGUAAGUCAGAUGUGAAAGCCCCGGGCUCAACCUGGGAAUUGCAUUUGAGACUGCGUAGCUAGGGUGCGGAAGAGGGAAGCGGAAUUUCCGGUGUAGCGGUGAAAUGCGUAGAUAUCGGAAGGAACACCAGUGGCGAAAGCGGCUUCCUGGACCGGCAUUGACGCUGAGGAGCGAAAGCCAGGGGAGCAAACGGG